rnacentral:rRNA from 2 species
AGAGUUUGAUCAUGGCUCAGAUUGAACGCUGGCGGCAGGCCUAACACAUGCAAGUCGAGCGGCAGCACAGAGGAACUUGUUCCUUGGGUGGCGAGCGGCGGACGGGUGAGUAAUGCCUGGGAAAUUGCCCGGUAGAGGGGGGAUAACCAUUGGAAACGAUGGCUAAUACCGCAUAACCUCGCAAGAGCAAAGCAGGGGACCUUCGGGCCUUGC